UACAGAGGUCUCAAGCGUUGUUCGGAUUCAUUGGGCGUAAAGGGUGCGUAGGCGGCGCGGUAAGUCGGGUGUGAAAUCUUGGAGCUUAACUCCGAAACUGCAUUCCAUACUGCGGUGCUUGAGGACUGGAGAGGAGACUGGAAUUUACGGUGUAGCAGUGAAAUGCGUAGAGAUCGUAAGGAAGACCAGUGGCGAAGGCGGGUCUCUGGACAGUUCCUGACACUGAGGCACGAAGGCCAGGGGAGCAAACGGG
rnacentral:rRNA from 1 species